GAAUGAACGCUGGUGGCAGACCUAACACAUGCAAGUCGAACGGUCUAUAUUAAAACUUCGGUUUUUUUAUAGAUAGUGGCAAACGGGUGAGUAAAGCAUGGGGAAUCUACCUAGAAGUUUGGAAUAGCUAUUAGAAAUGAUAGAUAAUACCAAACUACGACCUCGAGUAGGGAAAGUUGACUUUCGGUCUUCGCUUUUAGAUGAGCCCAUGUUAAAUUAGUUAGUUGGUAGGGUAAUGGCCUACCAAGAUGAUGAUUUAUAGCUGGUCUUAGAGGAUGAUCAGCCACACUGAAUUGAGAUACGUCCAGACUCCUACGGGAGCGAGCAGUGGGGAAUAGUUGGACAAUGGGCGCAAGCCUGAUCCAGUCAUGCCACGUGAGUGA
rnacentral:rRNA from 1 species